rnacentral:rRNA from 1 species
UCCGAUUGGACAAUGGGGGCAACCCUGAUCCAGCCAUGCCGCGUGUGUGAAGAAGGCCUUCGGGUUGUAAAGCACUUUCAGCGAGGAGGAAGGGAUCCGUGUGUUAAUAGCGCARUUUCUUGACGUUACUCGCAGAAGAAGCACCGGCUAACUCUGUGCCAGCAGCCGCGGUAAUACAGAGGGUGCAAGCGUUAAUCGGAAUUACUGGGCGUAAAGCGCACGCAGGCGGUUUGUUAAGAU